AACGAACGCUGGCGGCAUGCCUAACACAUGCAAGUCGAACGAGACCUUCGGGUCUAGUGGCGCACGGGUGCGUAACGCGUGGGAACCUGCCUUUAGGUUCGGAAUAACUCAGAGAAAUUUGAGCUAAUACCGGAUAAUGUCUUCGGACCAAAGAUUUAUCGCCUUUAGAUGGGCCCGCGUAAGAUUAGCUAGUUGGUGGGUAAAGGCCUACCAAGGCGACGAUCUUUAGCUGGUCUGAGAGGAUGAUCAGCCACACUGGGACUGAGACACGGCCCAGACUCCUACGGAGGCAGCAGUGGGGAAUAUUGGACAAUGGCGAAAGCCUGAUCCAGCAAUGCCGCGUGAGUGAUGAAGGCCUAGGGUUGUAAAGCUCUUUUACCCGAGAUGAUAAUGACAGUAUCGGGAGAA
rnacentral:rRNA from 1 species